GGGUGGAUCAGUGGCGAACGGGUGAGUAACACGUGAGCAACCUGCCCUCCACUUCGGGAUAAGCCUUGGAAACGGGGUCUAAUACCGGAUAUGAGCAUCUGCCGCAUGGUGGGUGUUGGAAAGUUUUUCGGUGGGGGAUGGGCUCGCGGCCUAUCAGCUUGUUGGUGGGGUGAUGGCCUACCAAGGCGUCGACGGGUAGCCGGCCUGAGAGGGCGACCGGCCACACUGGGACUGAGACACGGCCCAGACUCCUACGGGAGGCAGCAGUGGGGAAUAUUGCACAAUGGGCGAAAGCCUGAUGCAGCGACGCCGCGUGAGGGAUGACGGCCUUCGGGUUGUAAACCUCUUUCAGCAGGGAAGAAGGCCUUCGGGUGGACGGUACCUGCAGAAGAAGCGCCGGCUAACUACGUGCCAGCAGCCGCGGUAAUACGUAGGGCGCAAGCGUUGUCCGGAAUUAUUGGGCGUAAAGAGCUCGUAGGCGGUCUGUCGCGUCUGGUGUGAAAACCCGAGGCUCAACCUCGGGCUUGCAUCGGGUACGGGCAGACUAGAGUGCGGUAGGGGAGACUGGAAUUCCUGGUGUAGCGGUGGAAUGCGCAGAUAUCAGGAGGAACACCGAUGGCGAAGGCAGGUCUCUGGGCCGCAACUGACGCUGAGGAGCGAAAGCAUGGGGAGCGAACAGGAUUAGAUACCCUGGUAGUCCAUGCCGUAAACGUUGGGCACUAGGUGUGGGGCUCAUUCCACGAGUUCCGUGCCGCAGCUAACGCAUUAAGUGCCCCGCCUGGGGGAGUACGGCCGCAAGGCUAAAACUCAAAGGAAUUGAC
rnacentral:rRNA from 1 species